AUGAGGAAGAAGAAGACGGCGGCGCCGGCGCCGGCGCCUGCACCCACGGCUACCAAGACGACAGCGGCGGCAGCGGUGCCCGCGGCUGCUAAGAAGAAGCCCCUGGCGGCCAAGAAGACAGCGGCAGCCGCCGUACCCGUGGCCAAGAAGAAGGCGGCGGCGGCGGCCAAGAAGCGCGCAUCCGGUGGAACGGCCGGGUGCAGGCCACGGAAACGGGCACGGGAUGACAACUGCGACGGCGAUCUCAUCAGCAACCUUCCGGACGCCGUCCUCUGCACCAUCAUCUCCCUCCUCCCCACCAAGGACGGCGCUCGCACGCAGGCCAUCGCCCGCCGAUGGCGCCCCCUCUGGCGCUCCGCGCCUCUCAACAUCGACGCCCAGAAUCUCAGGACCGGCCGCAGUUUGCCCCUUCGCUGUAAAAAGAAGAACCUCAGCACCAAUAAUUUUCAGCCGUCGUGCCGCCGCCGAGGGCCUCGACCGCCGCAGGACUCCAUCGUCUCCAGGAUCCUCUCCGACCACCCUGGCCCCGUUCGCUGCUUCGACUUCCGCUUAACCUGCAUCUGCCCGAAAAAAGAAGGGCACGCCCAGAAACUUGCUCAGAUUGAGAGCUGGUUCCACUCUCGAAGCCUGCACAACCUUCAGGAGCUCCAUAUCUUCUUCCCGAUCUUGUGUCGAGCAGCUCGAUGCUCCUUGCCAUCAUCCGUGCUCCGUUUCGCAUCGACUGUUGUUGUGGCUACAAUCGGCCACUGCGAUGUCCCAAAAGAGAUCGCUCCUUUACUGAAUUUCCCCCUCCUCAAGCAUCUCACCCUACGGAGCGUUUCCAUCUCAGAGGAUGUCUUCCAUGGGGCGAUCUCCUCCUGCCAUGUGUUGGAGACCCUAUAUCUGCAGGGAAAUGUUUAUACUGGUCCCCUCCGCAUUAGCUCGCGAACUCUUAGGAGCAUCGCCUUCAGUCAUUGUCAUGUUGGCAAAGAAGAAUUGGUUAUUGAGGACACCCCUCGCCUUGAAAGACUGCUUUGUCCAUGCUCAGAUGGUUUGAAUAUCCGGGUAAAUAAGGCACCUAAACUGGAGAUAUUGGGCCCUUUGUCACCCCGCACCUCCAAUAUUCAGAUUGCAAAGCUAAUCUUUCAGGGGUUGGUUUCAACCAGCUUGAACAAUUCGAUAUGCACAGUGAAGGUUUUGGCUCUCCAGUUUGCUUGCACUGAUUUGAAUGCAGUUCUUGACGUCCUCAGGUUUUUCCCCUGCUUGGAAAUACUUUAUGUUAUGUGGAACAAAUACUUGAACGCAGAGAUGAACAAUGUGCGUCAUUGUGAUCCAAUAACUCCAAUCAAAUGCCUUGAGACCCAUCUAAAAAAACUAGUGUUGAAGAAUUACACAGGCGAUGAGCAAGAUGUUAGCUUUGCCAAGUUCUUUGUUCUGAAUGCGAAAGUGCUAAACGAGAUCAAAUUUGGCGUUAGCGAGAAGUUCGACGAGAAAUGGGUGGCUGAUCAGCACAGGUUGCUAGGAGUGGAAAGUGAAGCUUCUCCAGAGUUCGAGUUUAAGCAUUGUUCGUACUAUUUGAAUAACUAUUUGGAUACCCAUGACUUGUCAAUUGCCGAUCCCUUCAACAACUCUUUUCUGGCCAAAGACCAUACUCUUCCAGUGAUAUCAAUAUCAUGUCCUUCCAGUUCUGACGAGGUGUUAUGGCCGGUUUAG
rnacentral:rRNA from 1 species